rnacentral:rRNA from 1 species
AGAGUUUGAUCCUGGCUCAGGAUGAACGCUGGCGGUGUGCUUAACACAUGCAAGUCGAACGAAACUUUUUAAAUAAUUCUUCGAAGUUAUUUAAUAAUGUUUAGUGGCAGACGGCUGAGUAAUACAUUGGUACCCACCCUAAAGUGGGGGAUAGCUCAUUGAAAAAUGGGGUAAUCCCGCAUGUGCUCUACGGAGUAAAGCUUCGGCGCUUUAGGAGGGGCCUUUGUCCUAUCAGUUAGUUGGUGAGGUAAUGGCUUACCAAGACUAUGACGGGUAGCUGGAUCGAGAGGUCGACCAGCCAGACUGGGACUGAGACACGGCCCAGACUCCUACGGGAGGCAGCAGUGAGGAAUUUUCCGCAAUGGGCGAAAGCCUGACGGAGCGACACCGCGUGAAGGAUGACGGUUUUCGGACUGUAAACUUCUUUUAUAUGUGAAGAUUAUGACGGUAGCAUAUGAAUAAGGACCGGCUAACUACGUGCCAGCAGCCGCGGUAAUACGUAGGGUCCAAGCGUUAUUCGGAUUUACUGGGCGUAAAGCGUGCGUAGGCGGCUAUAUAAGUUAGAUGUUAAAUCUAUGGGCUCAACUCAUAGGCUGCAUCUAAUACUGUAUAGCUCGAGAGUGGAAGAGGCAGACGGAAUUUCUAGUGGAGCGGUAAAAUGCGUAGAUAUUAGAAGGAACACCAAUGGCGAAGGCAGUCUGCUGGGCCAUUUCUGACGCUAAGGCACGAAAGCGUGGGGAGCGAUCGGGAUUAGAUACCCCGGUAGUCCACGCCGUAAACGAUGGAUACUAGCUUUUUGGGGUAUCGACCCCUUGAGAAGCGAAGCUAACGCGUUAAGUAUCCCGCCUGGGGAGUACGGUCGCAAGACUAAAACUCAAAGGAAUUGACGGGGACCCGCACAAGCGGUGGAACAUGUGGUUUAAUUCGACGCUAAGCGAAAAACCUCACCAAGGUUUGACAUACCAAUCGUAUCCCUAAGAAACUAGGGAGUCAGUUAGGCUGGAUUGGAUACAGGUGUUGCAUGGUCGUCGUCAGCUCGUGUCGUGAGAUGUCGGGUUAAGUCCUUUAACGAGCGCAACCCUCGUCGUAUGUUAUUUUUCAUGCGAGACUGCCCUGGUUAACGGGGAGGAAGGUGGGGAUGACGUCAGAUCAGCAUGGCCCUUACACCUUGGGCUACACACGUGUUACAAUGGCUAGAACAGUAGGUCGCAAUACCGUAAGGUGGAGCUAAUCCCUAAAUCUAGUCCCAGUUCGGAUAGUGGGCUGAAACUCGCCCACUUGAAGUUGGAAUCGCUAGUAACCGUAAAUCAGCACGUUACGGUGAAUACGUUCCCGGGUCUUGUACACACCGCCCGUCACACCACGAAAGACAGAGACGCCCGAUACCCGCGUAGCGGUUUAAGGUGGAGCUGUUGAUUGGGGUGAAGUCGUAACAAGGUAACCGUACUAGUACGAAG